UACGUAGGGUGCGAGCGUUGUCCGGAAUUAUUGGGCGUAAAGGGCUCGUAGGCGGUCUGUUGCGUCAGGAGUGAAAACUCGGGGCUUAACCCCGAGCCUGCUUCUGAUACGGGCAGACUAGAGGUAUGCAGGGGAGAACGGAAUUCCUGGUGUAGCGGUGAAAUGCGCAGAUAUCAGGAGGAACACCGGUGGCGAAGGCGGGACUCUGGGCCGAUACUGACGCUGAGGAGCGAAAGCGUGGGGAGCGAACAGG
rnacentral:rRNA from 1 species